rnacentral:rRNA from 1 species
AGAGUUUGAUCAUAGCUCAGGAUGAACGCUAGCGACAGGCCUAACACAUGCAAGUCGAGGGGCAGCGGGGAGGUAGCAAUACCUUUGCCGGCGACCGGCGCACGGGUGAGUAACACGUAUGCAAUCCACCUGUAACAGGGGGGAUAACCCGGAGAAAUCCGGACUAAUACCCCAUAAUAUGGGCGAUCCGCAUGGAGAGUUCAUUAAAGAGAGCAAUUUUGGUUACAGACGAGCAUGCGCUCCA